GCCCAACAGCUAGCCCUCACCACCAAAAACAACAAACCCCUAUUUAUAACCCCAAAAACACUACCAACCAAAAAACAAACCAUUUUACCUGCCCGAGUAUAGGCGAUAGAAAAGGAACCGUGGCGCAAUAGAAAAAGUACCGCAAGGGAACGCUGAAAGAGAAAUGAAAUAACCCAGUAAAGCACCAAGAAGCAGAGACUAAACCU
rnacentral:rRNA from 1 species